UUUCAAAGAUCGGCUCGGAUCCACUCAGCUUCUCUCCACUCUGCCUGGCACCGUUCGGCACGGCUCGGCUCUGCUCUUCGGUGCCCGUACUUCCACUGCGCCCUCCGCCGGCUGCGGCCAGUGGGAUGCAGGCUGAGGCUUGGAGAGGGACAACUCCCCGUGUCCCUACCAGUCUUUCCUCGGAGUCCCCUUGUCUCUGCCCGGGGUCUGCACAUCCCCUGUGUCCACUGACAGCCCCGUGAGCGCGGGUUCGUCUCGGCACGGCUCGGAUCGGGCCGGUUCGGCUCCGCUCAGUGUGGCAGACUGCCAAUGGGAGCGAGGAGAGAGCGCUCCCAUUGGUUGAACCGCGCGUCACUCAUGGAGCAGCACCUAAUCAGCGGUGGCAGAGCACCAGUGGCGGGCCUUAAAAUGAGUGCUCCCAUUGGCUGAUAUGUGCGGCAGUCAGAGUCAUACACCCAAUCAGCGCCGGCAGAGUGCCGGGGGGGCGUGCUGGGAAUAGAGCGCUCCCAUUGGCUAGCAGUACGUCACUCAAUAAAAAUCGACCAAUCAGAGCCGGUACAACACUCAGUAUGCGGGCCGAGAAGUGAGCAUUUCCAUUUGCUGAGCCGCACGUCACUCAGUCCACGACGACCAAUCAGCGGUGCCAGAGGCUGGGGGAGCAGGCCAAGGAGAGCGCACACCUAUUGGCUGAGCCCCAAGUCAUUCAGCAAACAGUGACCAAUCAGUGGUGACAUAGUACCGGGUGGGGCGGGCCCUAAACCAAGCACUUCCAUUAGCUGAGCUGCGCGUCACUCAGAGAGCAGCCACCAAUCAGCAGUGGAGAGCACCCAUGGGGCGGGCCCUAUGCCGAGCAUUCCCAUUGGCUGAAGCUCACGGCAGUCAGAGUUACGAACACGGCUGCACUUGUGUAUAGAGUACUCACGUGCUGCUGUUACGAACACGGCUCGAUCGCUUGUGGCUUUGUUUGGGAGGAGUUGCAGCCUCCCUGCAAAAAUCUAAAGCUCCGGUGCUAUGUCAGAUCCUAACAGUAAUGUCCCUUUAGGAAAACGAGGCGGUGCCUGUGAGCAAAGCUAGCCUCUGCGGUGCCCCUCGAACCGAAAACGCCAGAGCAGAGGCGUGUGGAAGUUUGCCCCUUCUCUUCUGGUGCCCAUGACAGAGCGCAGCGAAUACAAAAAGAGAAAAUGCUGGAAGAAUUGCCGAAGGAGAGGGUAUGAGCUCAAAGCUGCCUUGGGUUCCAGUGCUGAAGUGAAGUAGGUGUGGCAGGACUCGCCUCGCGUGGUCAUCUGUUAAGCUCCCAAAGCUUCUUCCUGCCUCUGAGGAAGGGGCAAGAAAUAUUUCCAGUUGUUUUUUUCAGGUGCCUCAGUUCAAAGCCAUACCUCUGCCUUCCUUUGACUGUCUGAGGCUGCCAGAGAAAGUCAAAACCUGCACUCGGCCCAAGCCAUUCCGUCUGUGUAUGGCAGCACUGCCACCGUACAGAGCUGCAAACAGCCAGUCGGAUGAAAAGGCUUCAACGGGGCCUGGCAAGGCAGUAGGGUUCAAAGCUCAUCCCAUCACAGUGGCGUUGCUGGAAGCUUUCUGUCCUUCAAAAGGAAACAAAGCUGUUUUCAGCUGGAGUUCUGGAGACUUGGCUGAUGGGUGCCGAGAGCUGGUCAGAUGGUGGUGAGAGCAGCGGGAAAAGGAAGAAGUUUCUCCGCUGAGGAGACAAGCGAUGAGAGCCUUUUUGGUGCCGAAGUUCCUGAAAGCCUUCCACUGGUGACAAAAAGGGAGCUGCGAACAUUUGAGAAACAGUUGGCAGGUAGAGAAGCCGUAAGGAAGAGACACCGAGAGAGGGUCAGACAGUGACAAGAGCAGCAGGAGCAGGAAGAAGUUGCUCGGCCAAGACGAGAAAAUGGUUCACGAGGCAAACCUGGUACGCAAAUACCGCAGCGCAGGAGUGACACCCAGCCAUCAGCCACUGACUGUGCCAAAGUCUCCCGACGUCUCAGUUAGACUCUGGCGCUGACGGGCAUCUGUGGGAUAGUAGGAGGGAGGUCUUGUCCCUCUGCACUCUCUGGACAGGCAGAGAAAAGAGGGAGCAGUUGCUUUUGUGCCAUCUCUCUGUCUCAAUGCUACGCUUGGUUCCAUUCUUGUUACGCUUGAAAUGCGGAUGGACGCGAGCUCUGUCUGAGGCAGAUGUCCGAGGCACGGCAGACGGGCAGUGCUGCGCGUUCUCCAUUGCCUUACUUGGGGUCUAGGCGUCUUGUCCACCGGAGACUAAACUACGCCUUGUCACUUUAUACAAAUAUCGUGUACCUGAACUAGAUCAAAAUUCUAAUCGGAUCGCCAUCCCUCGCUGCUGGGCUGAAUCCCUUUCCCACAGAGGCUUUGGUAAAAGGCACUUGCUGAACAGGCAGCGAUGUGCGUGUUUGGAAGAGCUGCCUUGCCGUCUUGCUUUGCCCUGCGUGUCUGUUUGGCCCGUAGUCUGCAUUAAGCUUAACUCGUGUGCAGUCUACAGCGCUUCUGCGGGUCAGUGCAUUGCGGGUCUGACUCUGGCGACAGAAGAUGUGCCAGGAGCCUUUUGUGCCUCAGAAGGAGAACGAAUAGCAGUGUGCCCGGGCUGCUUUUCUAUGUCGGACUUUCAUGUGGAUGUGAUUUGGAACAUCUUAGCGUAACGAGUUUCCACCGGAUUCUCUGUGACAGCUUUAUCGGACUUGAGUUUUAGCCUCAUGACUCACAUAAGACAUGGCGGUAUGUGAUGGGAGGACUACUGGGAAAAUGGCAAGAGGAGGAUCAACAAGAAACAGUGGAACCUGCGCUUUGGAAUUUGCUGCUCAUUUGGCUGCUGAGAAAGAGGAGUCUCUGUGAAUUUGCUACUGUAUGAGACAGAUCAAAGAAGUUUAAUAAAAGUUCGGUUCUAUCUAAAUGGUGGGUGGGAAUAAGCUUAUGUAAAGCAUAUGGUAUGUAACAUUGAUAUGAUUCAAAGCACUGUAUCUCAGCAGCUAGAACAUGGGAGGAAUCUUUUAAUCUAGACAGGUUUUUAACAAUGAUAAUUGACAUUUAGUGGCUUAAUAACAUAGAUAAUUUUAUAUAAUUUAAAUCAAGCCUGGCUGUCAUACGUUGAACUUUCAGUAAACCACCAACAUUUUAUAUUUAGAAGUAAUCUCUUAUUACCCAUCCUAAGUGGGAUGCUAGUUUUUCUCUUAAAAGGGUGGGUCUUGUUCAAAAGCUUUUGAAGGUAAUAGUUGGGUUGGUUAAGUCUGUGCUACACCCGCGGUCAGCAAUUAGGUACAGGUGAAGGUUUUGCCCCUUAAAAGGCCUCUUGAUUUAGAGGUGAGUCUCUAGCCGAGUGUGCUUUUCUUUGUAGUGCAUUUGAGCCUUCUGUCACCGUUUCUUCUGUGAGUUUCAGGUACUGAUUUUGUUUGUGGGUUUGAUUUUUAGUCUUAAAGUAAAAUUGGUUUGGAAUGUGGCAGCUUCAGAGAAGUGUUAUCACAAACGUUUGCAGUCAAUUAUGUCUUGUCUUUCUUUGUUCUUUUAUUAGAAGCAGGAAUUUUUUUUUUUUUUUUUUUUGGCUAUAUUGAGGCACAAAGGAUUUAGGCUUGGCCUAAAUGAGAUUUCCAAUGUAGUUUUAGUGAUAGGUGUUACUGGUUUUCCCAGAGCUGGUUUGUUUACUUUGGGUUUUGCAUCAUAAGCGGUUGAAAAUUAUGUUUGCCCAGAAUGUUUUGAAGCAAUACCCAAGGAAACUGUUAGCUUGCCUAUAUUGCUGGGAAUUUUUUUGCUUAAUCUACAUCAGCACCUGAGGACUCCAGGGAGGUAAAUAUAAGAGCAGUUUUAAAAACGCUUCCUAGGGGAGAGUCAGUAAACUAUUCACCAGUAAGGCUGUGACAACUGUGCCAGGCAAGUUAUUAGAAAUGGUAACGAAGAAUGGAAUUAAGGGGUAUGGAUAAGUGUGGUGUUUGUAUGGGAAAAUCCUACCGCACGCAUCUCAGUUUUUUGAGGGAAACUGCAACCGUGUAAAUUAGGAUGAUUUGGUUGAUGCUGCAUUAUCUACUGUUUGUAUGGUGUUUUCAUAAAAGCAGAAAGAGAAAGCUAUUCCUAUACACUAGCUAAAACUGUGUGGAUUUUUUUGCCCACAGGUAGAAUGGUUGAAUUCUAUUGACUUACUGAAUGAGAGCAUUGGGGGGAUGGUGGAAUUUCUGUGCUUUUUUGUGCUUUUCUGUUGUUCUUGUUUAACUCCUGCUCAGAACUUGGAAAUGUUUUGAGUAGAGAGAACAUAAGAGGUUUUAGAUCUAGUGCCUAUUUAUACAAGAACAAUAUUUUUUAUCUUAUUUUUAGAAAAUGUUUUCAGGUGCAUGGUGACUGUUCUAAAUACUUUUAUGUAGAAAACCUUGUAUAAAAAGCAAUGAAUAGCGAGCUCUUGUAAGCUUGUUAAGGUUGCUCAGGCAGGGUGAGUGAAUCUGGUCCAGAAACACUGCUCUUUGGUCAAGUGAGCAAAAUGGAACUGAACGAUGCUCUUCCUCACCAAGCUGUGUGCAGGUGCGUGUUCCAUCGCGGCAUUUCUUGUGGUGUAUUUUCACUUUAGGAAAACAGCUCAUUUGGUUUACCCUUUGAUCCAAAUACUUUCCUGGGCUGCUUUUCUGAUAGUACUCUUGGGAUAAAAAUCUGAGGGUUCUGAUAGUACUCUUGGGAUAAAAAUCUGAGGGUUUUUUCAUGGUUUUUAGGCUAUCUAUUUUAUCUAUUGCACUACAUGAAAUUUCAGAAUGGGACGCAGGACAAAAUUGCUGCAAUGUUACUGUAAAUAUAGCUCAGCCCUAACUCGGUCUCUGCCAUUUCUAGAAGUUGUCCCAAACCCAUGAUGUGGCUUGGCACAGUUAAACACAAUUGGAAUCUCUGUUCCAUAAAGGUACUUAAUGGAGCUGUUGCGCAGGAUGAACUGUGUUUCACCUUAUGAUGCAGUGAGGUUUAUGCAAGUUAGCGCAGAGGCCACUGCCAGACCCCUCCACAUUGUCUCUCUCCACUGGAGUUGCUGUGUAUUGCAAUUCAGAUUGAAAAUGUCCUUGGUUUGGUUCUGGCUCCUGCAGUCCAUUUCACACAUCCUCAUGUAAAAUUUCACAGCAGGAGUAACCAAAACAGUUGUAUAACUG